AAUUAACGCUGGCGGCAGGCCCAACACAUGCAAGUCGAACGCCGUAGCAAUACGGAGUGGCAGACGGGUGAGUAACGCGUGGGAACCUACCUUACGGUCGGGAAUAGCUCAGGGAAACUUGGGGUAAUACCGGAUACGCCCUUACGGGGAAAGAUUUAUCGCCGUUAGAUGGGCCCGCGUCGGAUUAGCUAGUUGGUGAGGUAAUGGCUCACCAAGGCGACGAUCCGUAGCUGGUCUGAGAGGAUGAUCAGCCACACUGGGACUGAGACACGGCCCAGACUCCUACGGGAGGCAGCAGUGGGGAAUAUUGGACAAUGGGCGCAAGCCUGAUCCAGCCAUGCCGCGUGAGUGACGAAGGCCUUAGGGUUGUAAAGCUCUUUUGGCGGGGAAGAUAAUGACGGUACCCGCAGAAUAAGCUCCGGCUAACUUCGUGCCAGCAGCCGCCGUAAAAC
rnacentral:rRNA from 1 species